rnacentral:tRNA from 1 species
UCCCUGGAGGGCCAGUGGUUAGGUCUUGGCACUCUCACCGCUGCACCCCGGGUCCGAUUCCAGGCCAGGGAA